GACGGUUGUCCCGGUUUAAGCGUGUAGGCUGGUUUUCCAGGCAAAUCCGGAAAACCAAGGCUGAGGCGUGAUGACGAGGCACUACGGUGCUGAAGCGACAAAUGCCCUGCUUCCAGGAAAAGCCUCUAAGCAUCAGGUAACAUCAAAUCGUACCCCAAACCGACACAGGUGGUCAGGUAGAGAAUACCAAGGCGCUUGAGAGAACUCGGGUGAAGGAACUAGGCAAAAUGGUGCCGUAACUUCGGGAGAAGGCACGCUGAUAUGUAGGUGAAGCGACUUGCUCGUGGAGCUGAAAUCAGUCGAAGAUACCAGCUGGCUGCAACUGUUUAUUAAAAACACAGCACUGUGCAAACACGAAAGUGGACGUAUACGGUGUGACGCCUGCCCGGUGCCGGAAGGUUAAUUGAUGGGGUUAGCGGUAACGCGAAGCUCUUGAUCGAAGCCCCGGUAAACGGCGGCCGUAACUAUAACGGUCCUAAGGUAGCGAAAUUCCUUGUCGGGUAAGUUCCGACCUGCACGAAUGGCGUAAUGAUGGCCAGGCUGUCUCCACCCGAGACUCAGUGAAAUUGAACUCGCUGUGAAGAUGCAGUGUACCCGCGGCAAGACGGAAAGACCCCGUGAACCUUUACUAUAGCUUGACACUGAACAUUGAGCCUUGAUGUGUAGGAUAGGUGGGAGGCUUUGAAGUGUGGACGCCAGUCUGCAUGGAGCCGACCUUGAAAUACCACCCUUUAAUGUUUGAUGUUCUAACGUUGGCCCGUAAUCCGGGUUGCGGACAGUGUCUGGUGGGUAGUUUGACUGGGGCGGUCUCCUCCUAAAGAGUAACGGAGGAGCACGAAGGUUGGCUAAUCCUGGUCGGACAUCAGGAGGUUAGUGCAAUGGCAUAAGCCAGCUUGACUGCGAGCGUGACGGCGCGAGCAGGUGCGAAAGCAGGUCAUAGUGAUCCGGUGGUUCUGAAUGGAAGGGCCAUCGCUCAACGGAUAAAAGGUACUCCGGGGAUAACAGGCUGAUACCGCCCAAGAGUUCAUAUCGACGGCGGUGUUUGGCACCUCGAUGUCGGCUCAUCACAUCCUGGGGCUGAAGUAGGUCCCAAGGGUAUGGCUGUUCGCCAUUUAAAGUGGUACGCGAGCUGGGUUUAGAACGUCGUGAGACAGUUCGGUCCCUAUCUGCCGUGGGCGCUGGAGAACUGAGGGGGGCUGCUCCUAGUACGAGAGGACCGGAGUGGACGCAUCACUGGUGUUCGGGUUGUCAUGCCAAUGGCACUGCCCGGUAGCUAAAUGCGGAAGAGAUAAGUGCUGAAAGCAUCUAAGCACGAAACUUGCCCCGAGAUGAGUUCUCCCUGACUCCUUGAGAGUCCUGAAGGAACGUUGAAGACGACGACGUUGAUAGGCCGGGUGUGUAAGCGCAGCGAUGCGUUGAGCUAACCGGUACUAAUGAACCGUGAGGCUUAACCUUACAACGCCGAAG
rnacentral:rRNA from 1 species